AGAAUAGAAACGUAGCCAACGUAAAUAAACCCACCACAGGCAGCUGACUGGGGGUGGUCGCUAGCCUAAUCCUCGAACUCGUCGAAGUCCUGGAACUCCUGGAGAUCCGCCUCGACGCCUUCUUCUUUACUUGAGCAUAGAUUGCACCAAAGACAACCUGGUGUUUUGUGAAAGCAAGGGUGAGUACACAUCAACGUACUCAGCAAAUGUCCUGUUUGGCUGAAGUGGACUAGCUUUAUGUGGGGUUAAGCUCAAGCAGUUGCUUUUAGUUGGUCAGGUAUUUAUUAUCAGUGGAAGCCAAGUUUUAGUAAUAACCAACCCGUGAACCAUUUCCUCAUCGAGGAACAUCAUCAUCAUAGUCGAACCAAAACCAUAAACAUAAUCACUGUAUCUCAGAUCAUAUGUAUCUCUAAUCAAAGAGGAUCCCAAGGCCGCUCAUAACCGUGAGCACGACUGAUAUAUCAGUUUCUAAUCCUCUGCAGAGGUCGCACACUUUACCCACGACUCGUGAUUCCCGUUUUGCCCGGGGAACAUGACUCCCCAUUGACCACUUCCUAGGUGGCCCGGCAGGGUAUCACUACGUAGCCUUUACAAAGAUUCCCUAGAGGUCAUAGCCGCCCGUUAGGUUUCUCCAGUUUGAUAAACAUAGUACCUCUCCCCGCAAGAGGGUGACUAACAAAAGCAAAACGAAAGAACCUCGACACUCAGCCUCGGCAGAGCAAGCACUGUGCCUGGACCCCAUUGACGGCACGACGGCGAAGCAACUACACCUCUAGUUCCUCUAAUUAAUUAGCUAAGGGCAUCCCAUUUCACCCUCAUGGUUGCACUGUUAUCCCGGGUGGUCUCUCAACGAACAGGUCCUUACGGAGAGGUACUCGGGAAAUAGCCCGAGUCCCCUAAAGUGAUCACAAGAACCUCAUAGGGAUAACAUCAUCGUAUCAUAAUAUUCACAUCAUGUUCAUUGAUUAAAGUAAAGCAAUAGCGUGAAGCUAACCAUGAUAACCCAAAAGGUAAAAAAGGAUAAGGUAAAUAGAAAGCUAGUCAAUCCUUAGGUUUCAAUUAAGUAACGCGGGACAGUGAAUUAUAAGUAGAUAGGACAUAAUGGGUCAGAGGACACUUGCCUUCACCAAACAGAUGCUCAGGGUCUUCGAUCUCGUAGAACUCGAAGAGUUCGAUCACUUGGUCGCCAUGCUUGAUCGUCGAUUCCUCGAAGCUUAGAAACGAAUCGCGAUCUAAUCGCAACACGAAGCGAAGACGAACAGGCACAAGCAAACAAACAUAUACAUAUGCACAAGAACAUUACACCAUACAAUAUAAAACGUAAUAAAAUAUGCAAAACAAAAUAGAGUGCGUUAUUACGGUCACACGAGGAAAAGAAACAUAGAACUCGAAGCUGCGAUCAAGAAAUUAACGGGUAUACGCUAAACAAGUAUUAACUAUAACUUUUAGUUCAAUAUUAUCAAAUAUAAAUAUUACACGUCGUUUAAUUAGAUUAAUCUGCCACACUAAUAAAUGACAGUUUAAUUAAGUAACUUAAUUAAAACGAGAGAUUCUAAGCGAGGCGAAUUUACGACGCGUGAAACAGCACGACAGCGUGCGAACGACGCGCGGACACGCGCGACACAGCACGCGGUCGAGGCAUGAAACAGUGCGCGCGACUAGCACGAACGACGCGCGAAUCAGCACGCCACCACGUGCGAAACAACACGCACGACAAGCGAGAAAAUAAAAUAGGUGACAUAUUUGUACUAAACAACUAUUAAAUAAAUAAAAAAGUGGUUAACUUAAUAUUAGCCACGUUAUUGUUUAUUAUAAAAGCGCGAGUUGAACACUACAUAUUUAAUCUAAUUGGGAUAUUAAUCUAAUAAAUAUUAGUCGAGUAAAUCUUAAGUUAAUUAUCUAAAAUCUGUGAUCUAACAAAUUAAUGUUAUUAAUAUGAGUGUUUAUAAGCAAAAACAGUUUAUUAUCACACGCAGACGCCGCGCGACACAGAGAAAUAGAUGUUAUGUUUAUACUGAAUAAGUAUUAAUUCAAAAACGUUUGAGUUGACAUUAAUCAUAUCAACGUAUAUUUAUAAAGCGUAAAUUAAAACUAUGGAUUUGUUUAACGCUAUUUAAUAAAUCGUGUUUCUAGGGUGAUAUGGUGCAAUUUUAUUGGCUGGAGGAUGUCCACACCUAUGGCCACAAGAUCUUAGCAGCAGAAAAUCCAUGGAUGAUAUGGGGCAUUUUCUCUAUUGGAUGGAUCAUGGAUGCAUGCAGGGAUUAGUGGUGCACGUACGUGGGGCCUAUUCACUUGGCACAUGCACAUGGCAGUUUUGUUUCGUGGCCGCAUGCAGGGAAAACAAAUAAAUAAUAAAUAAACAAAAAAAAUAAAGACAUGGGCACUUCCUUCCUAACGCACGCCAUCGGAAGGCAUGCAGCAUGGGGCUCAUGCGGCUUCUUCUUCAUGGAAACAAGUCAACUACCGAGGGGUUCCAACUCCAAACCUGGACGCACGCACGGAAUCGACCAUGGGGGACAGAACGCGCAGGAGGGAGGAAACCUGCGCGCGGGCUGGCCGUGGAGCUGCUCGGGCAGCGUGGGGCUGCAGGGGAGAGAGCGGCUUGCAGGUGGCCAGGGUGGGCACCGGUGGCUCGCUGGCGGCGGCGCUCGUGGAGCAGCGACCACGUGACUUCUGGGAGAGUUCGGCCAGGGCCAGCCGUGGCAACAUCUAUGCAAGGAAGCAGCGAAUGGUAAACUGCGGAAGAAGAAGAGAGCUCACCGGAGGAUUUGCUCGAGGAUUGGCCCGAUGGCGGCAUGGCUGGAGCUUGCGGAGUGCGGCUGCUCGCCGGACCGGCUCAGACGUCGAAUUGCUUGGUCGUGGGGCUUGUUGUGCUCAUGCACAGGGGAUAUGGGGAGGGCAGUUAUGGGAGGCUCCAUGUCAUAGCCGGCUUGGGCGAACGAGGGAGUUCCGAGAGAGAAGGAGAUGAUAGAUGGGGC
rnacentral:lncRNA from 1 species